AAGCGUGGUUAUUACUGUGCAGAAGUUUAAUCAGUUUACAAAAAUGCGUUGAACACUGGGGGCUUUGGAUAAAAAAGUCAUAUGUGCGUAUUAGUCAUCCAUUCCAUUGUCAUCACUGUUUCGGUCUACCAUAGAGAUGUUUUAUUAGUUCGUUCAAAUUCCCAUGACUCCAGUUUCACAUGAGGUCGUAGACUCCUCAAUUGAAAAGCUUUUUAGUAGCUUUGGUAGGUCUGAAAUUUCAGAAUAUUGAGCAAGGCCUGAGCUAGAACAUGAUCUAAUAAGAUUGGACUGUCAAAACAAGAAGCACUAGUCUGUGAUUACAAGAUUUUUACGAAGAAAAUGUUAAAACUCUGCUGUGAGAACCUCAGAAAGAUAAUAAAACAGGUUGGAAGCCAGUUUCUUUUUCAUGUCUAUUCUGAUAGGUGGGACAUCCGCCUAUUCAAGCAGCAAAACUGCAGUGGAAUGAAGUGUGAGUCCACAGAAACAAUAGAUAGUAUCUUUCUAUUGGGAAACUCUAAUUGCUU
rnacentral:lncRNA from 1 species